UUUUUGUUUUGUUUUUUUUUUUUUUUUAACUCGGAAAAAAAUCAGUUGCUUAUUACUUAAAAGAAAUUAAGGCAGAACUCAUGACUUUAUUUUUAUUUUAUUUUAUGUUUUUGUCUUUUGUCUUUUGAGGGCCACACCUGCAGCACAUGGAGGUUCCCAGGCUAGGGGUCCAAUCUGAGCUGUAGCUACCAGCCUACACCACAGCCAUAGCAACACUGGAUCCCAGCCACAUCUGUGACCUACAUCACAGCUCAGGGCAAUGCUGGAUCCUUAACCCACCCAGUGAGGCCAGGGAUCAAAACUGCAUCCCCAGGGAUACUAGUAGGGUUCAUUAACCACGGAGCCAUGACGGGAACUCUAAGAACUCAUGACUUUAGAACAAUUAGUGGAUUUUCAGGUUAAAAAUGGAUAAAUAGGAGUUCCCGUUGUGGCGCAGUGGUUAACAAAUCUGACUAGGAACCAUGAGGUUGCGGGUUCGGUCCCUGCCCUUGCUCAGUGGGUUAACAAUCCGGCGUUGCCGUGAGCUCUCGUGGCAACACUAGAUCCUUAACCCACUGAGCGAGGCCAGGGAUCGAACCCGCAUCCUCAUGGUUCCUAGUCGGAUACGUUUCCGCUGAGCCACGACGGAACUCCUUACCUGUAAUCUUUUUACUUCCUUGUAAAUAGACAAGACUGAACAAUGGUGUCCAAGCCUGGUGUUUGGAACCCUUUGUGGGCCAUCAUAGGAAAUAGAUUUCUAAGCUCUCUACCUGUGGAUUCAGAUUCAGAUUUCACAGGUCAUAGCAUUUAACCUUCCAGCUAAGGGUCAGUUAUUACUGACCGGAAAUAAAAACUUGGGUGCUCAGUGAUGCUUCACAAUAAAGCGGAUAGUCUGACUACAGACAGGAACAGUUAGAAAGCUGCUACUAUGCUGCCAACUCCAAUAUGUCCAGAUAAAGAGCAGUGCAAAUUCUCACUGGCAUUCAAAACAGCAAGUCGUCUGAAUUGCAAGGGUGUCUAUAUACAUUUUCCCCCAUAAAAUUCAACAGAUGUCUUUUCAAUGCAAAAGCAGCCUCCACAUGUUUUUAUUAUUCCAGACUUGACUCAGGCAAAAAAGCUAGAUUAUCACUAAUCUAAACAUUCUGAUGUGGAAGAGAGAAGCUAAAAGAGGAGUCCAGGACAUCUUCAUAAGAAAAGUGAAUUUCCAUAUUUGACUGCCUUCCAAAUCAACUAAUUGAAGCCCAUGAAUUUCUAUGAUGGGCACAGAUUCUUCUGGUUAAAGGUACAGCUUUAUUCAAGAGGAUGUCAACACCCUACCGUUGCUUUAUUGCACAGGAAAGAUAGAGCUGAAAAAAGCCCACCCAAAGUUUUCAGAAACACGAGUAAAGACUUUCUUCUCUGAUUUUUAUCUCCUCAAAAGAAGGCUGCAGCUACAGCAAAGUCCUCUGAGGUUAAUGUCUCAAAAUGCAUAGAAACAUUUAUCUAUUUAGCUAAAAUGAUGGACAAGUCAGAGAGCAACUGAAAAAGAACACCCGGCAGAUUCUACGCUUCCUUUUGUGGGUUCUGAAGACCAAGCGGGCCCAUUCACC
rnacentral:lncRNA from 1 species